rnacentral:rRNA from 1 species
UACGGAGGGUGCAAGCGUUGUUCGGAAUCACUGGGCGUAAAGCGCGUGUAGGCGGCCCCUUAAGUCUGGUGUGAAAGCCCGGAGCUUACCCCCGGAAGGGCACUGGAGACUGGGAGGCUAGAGUACCGGAGAGGAGGGUGGAAUUCCCGGUGUAGCGGUGAAAUGCGUAGAUAUCGUAAGGAAGACCAGUGGCGAAGGCGGGUCUCUGGUCAGUUCCUGACGCUGAGGCAAGAAGGCCAGGGGAGCAAACGGG